rnacentral:lncRNA from 1 species
CAGAGACUUGCCUGCAGCUCCUUGAUCUUCUUCUGUAACUGCAUGCCCAGGGCUUGCUCAUCCUCAAUUUUGCUCUGGAUCUGGCUGAUUUCAAAGUCUUUCCUUUUGCACAAGAUACAUGGUGUUAGUGCCUGAACAAAACAUCUAAGUGUACCCAUCCAGCACUCAGAUGUCCCACAACCACACUUACUUCUUCAGUUUCUCAUCCAGCUGCUGUUUAUCAUUUUCCAAGUCCAUUAUGCUAUCAUGAGCCAACUUCAGGUCUCCUUCAAGUUUCCUC